GAAGGCUAGUUCAGCAGGGGUUGGUUCCCUGUUUAAGCAUGUAGGAGGAGUUGCCAGGCAAAUCCGGCAGCUCUUAACUCCGAGGUGUGAUGACGAGGCUCCACGCGAGCCGAAGUGAAUAACGCCCCGCUUCCAGGAAAAGCCUCUAAGCUUCAGAUCACAUUGGACCGUACCGUAAACCGACACUGGUGGGUGAGCAGAUAAUCUGCCAAGGCGCUUGAGAGAACUCGGGUUAAGGAACUCUGCAAAUUGAUACCGUAACUUCGGAAGAAGGUAUGCCUUCGACGGUGUAGGGAUUUACUCCCGAAGCUGUUGAAGGUCGCAGGUAAUCGGUGGCUGCGACUGUUUAUCAAAAACACAGGACUCUGCGAACACGCAAGUGGAAGUAUAGGGUCUGACGCCUGCCCGGUGCCGGAAGGUUAAUUGGUGGGGUUAGCCGCAAGGCGAAGCUCUUGAUCGAAGCCCCGGUAAACGGCGGCCGUAACAAUAACGGUCCUAAGGUAGCGAAAUUCCUUGUCGGGUAAGUUCCGACCUGCACGAAUGGCGUAACGCUGGCCACACUGUCUCGACCCGAGACUCAGUGAAGUUGAAAUCGCUGUGAAGAUGCGGCGUUCCCGCGGCAAGACGGAAAGACCCCGUGAACCUUCACUACAGCUUUACACUGAACUUUGAACCUUUCUGUGUAGGAUAGGUGGGAGGCUAUGAAACUUGGGCGCUAGCUCGAGUGGAGCCAACCUUGAAAUACCACCCUGGGAUGUUUGAAGUUCUAACCUUGGUCCGUAAUCCGGAUUGGGGACAGUGUAUGGUGGGUAGUUUGACUGGGGCGGUCUCCUCCCAAAGAGUAACGGAGGAGUGCAAUGGUACGCUCAGCGCGGUCGGUCAUCGCGCUCUAGAGUGCAAAGGCAUAAGCGUGCUUAACUGUGAGACAGACACGUCGAACAGGUACGAAAGUAGGUCUUAGUGAUCCGGUGGUUCUGUAUGGAAGGGCCAUCGCUCAACGGAUAAAAGGUACUCCGGGGAUAACAGGCUUAUUCCUCCCAAGAGUCCACAUCGACGGAGGAGUUUGGCACCUCGAUGUCGGCUCAUCACAUCCUGGGGCUGUAGCAGGUCCCAAGGGUAUGGCUGUUUCGCCAUUUAAAGUGGUACGCGAGCUGGGUUCAGAACGUCGUGAGACAGUUCGGUCCCUAUCUGCCGUGGGCGUUGGAAACUUGAGGGUGAGCUGUCCUUAGUACGAGAGGACCGGGAUGGACGUAUCUCUGGUGUUCCGGUUGUCACGCCAGUGGCACUGCCGGGUAGCUAUAUACGGACGGGAUAAGCGCUGAAAGCAUCUAAGUGCGAAGCCCCCCCCAAGAUUAGGUUUCCCUGGGAACUCGAUUCCCCUAAAGGGCCGUCGGAGACUACGACGUUGAUAGGCUGGGUGUGUAAGUGCAGCAAUGCAUUGAGCUAACCAGUACUAAUUGCCCGUGAGGCUUGAGC
rnacentral:rRNA from 1 species